GAACUGAGUCCUAAGGUGUUGAUAGGGGCCGGGAUUCCUAGGGACACAGCCCUGGGCAGAGUAGAGGGGCGAACUCACUCUACAGAAAUAUCAUACUACUAUGGCUGAAGGGCGCCCAGAGAGAAGUCAGGAGGAGGCCCCUGGCCAGGAUCAGCAGCCCAUACCAGGGAUCGAACUCACGACUGCCUGCCACUGAGCUAUAUCUCCAGCCCCUCAAGAUCACCUUCUGAAGCUCUGGCUUUCCUCAAACUACCCAGGCCCGCCGAGCCUCCAGCACCGAGGACAGCGCUCCGGCAGCUAAUCCUCCUAGGCCAGUGGCAGUGGACCAACUGGGGACCUGCUGAUACUCAGAAGAAAACCCGCAGGGAACCAGACGCUGGGCAGGAGGAAUGUAACCCCCAGGUCAGACCAGCCUAAGGAGGUGAGCAGACAUGUUUUCUGUGGGCCAGGGUCUAGCAGAGUUCCUUCACAGAGCAGGGCCCUGGGACUGGCCAGCAAGUCCCAGGCCCUGUCCUCCUCUGUGACACUGAGCUGCAGGGCACUCGAGGUCCCUGAGCGGCUCCUGGCAGCUUCCUCGCCUGAGUGAUGUCAUGGGACACUUUUAGCCUGGCCUCCUGCAGAAUGUCGCAUCCAGUUACUCUUCCUACAGAUGUCUCUGCUACUUGUGAAUAUUUUAACUCAAAAACCUUGGGCCAUCGUUGUGACUAAUGAUCGCUGAACUGUUUGUUUGUUUGUUUGUUUUCCUCUGAAUGCAGCUUGUCUUUUUCUCCAUUGUAGGAACAGGCCGGUCCUGGGCAUGGCUGUAGGGUGGUGGCCAGUUGUCU
rnacentral:lncRNA from 1 species